rnacentral:rRNA from 1 species
AUUGAACGCUGGCGGCAUGCCUAACACAUGCAAGUCGAGCGGAGCGGCGGACGGGUGGGUAAUUCCUGGGAAUCUGCCUGGUAGUGGGGGCUACCGUCCGGCACCGGGAGCUAAUACCGCAUACUAUCAUAUGAGCCUAGGUCGGAUUAGCUAUUUUGUGGGGUAAAGGCCUACCAAGGCAACGAUCAGUAACUGGUCUGAGAGGAUGAUCAGUCAAACUGGAACGGAGACACGGUCCAGACUCCUACGGGAGGAAGCAGUGGGGAAUAUUGGACAAUGGGCGAAAGCCUGAUCCAGCCAUGCAGCUGGGGUGAAGAAGGUCUUCGGAUUGUAAAGCACUUUAAGUUGGGAGGCGUUACCAACAGAAGAAGCACCGGCUAACUUCGUGCCAGCAGCCGCGGUAAUAC